UUACGGCCAUAUCACGUUCGAACACCGGUUCUCGACCGAUCAGCGAAAUUAAGCAAAGUCGAACUGGUCAGUACCUGAAUGGGUGACCACUCGGAAAUAUCAGAUGCUGAAA